UUCUGUGUUUCGCGGUUUUGGGCGCGUGAAAAGAUCGAUUAACUCCCGAAAAAGUUAGUUCAGUUAUUAGUACUAUUUAUCAAUCUAAUCUAUUCCAUUCACACGGCUGGGCAGUGCUCCCGUGACUUCCAAAGUCUCACGGAGGAGCAGCGCCUGGUGAUUUCACCGCGACGGUGCCGCCGUCAACCGCGUCACGAGGAAUUCCUCCACUCCGUUCAGUGAUUCAGCUUUCAGCCUUCAGCCCUAGUUCCACAAGCAACAUGCCGGAGAUGUGUGCGGGAGGGAUCCAAGCGAGGUGCCUGGCUAGAGGCGCCACAUCCGCCGGGGAAGACGAGGGUUCGCUGGGGAAGACGAGGGUUCAGUCAACGCAUGAGAGAGCCACUACAAUGGAAGGAUGCGAGGGUACACAGGGUCGGCUUCGGCCCCGGCGUCGACGAGGAAGCGGAGCCGGAGGAUGUCGCUUGCUGCAGAUGGGGGGGUCGGCCGCGGCGCCAUCGAUGGAAGUUGAACGCAGCGCCGCCGCCGUCGAUGGAAGCCGAGCGCAGCGCUGCCGUUGACGGAAGCCGGGUGUAUCGUCGGAUGCCGAAUAUGCCGCGUCGCGCCGCUGCCGCCGCCGCCGCUGGGCGUAGCACUGCCUCCACCGCCGGACGCCCUAUGCCAUCGCCACCACACUACCACGUAGGCCAGGGCACAAAGCUGCCAUCCAAUGGGUUGUGGAGGAAUAUUUUUUCUGGUCAGCCUACAGAGACAAGUUCUGGCAAGGAAGCAUGUCAGUAGAUAAGAGUUGGAUGCGCAUGAGUAGGGCAACUGCAGAGUGGCAAAAAGGGUUGCAGGAAUUUUUAAAUUUUGCAUUUCAAGAUGAUAAUCCUGGGGAUAAUGCCCCCUGUCCAUGUAGAAGAUGCCUUAAUGUGGUACACAAAACACGCUCCGAAGUGCAAAGUGACUUGCUAAGGAAUGGAUUCGAUGAAAGUUACAUACAGUGGGUUUACCACGGUGAAGAUUCAGAUGAUGACAAUGUCACGGGAAGAUUCAGAAGAACGUAAGGAAAGGGAAAUGCUACGGGAGGAUAUUCUCAAAAUGAUUACUACGCAAAGCGUAGCAUCGGAACAACAGUCUGAUCUGGCAAUAGAUUGUCCAACUGAGAAUAGAGAACCACAUGACACAACAAAGAAGGCUCGAAGCAUUCAGAACAACACAGUUGUGAAAGCACUUUUUAACAGCGCUAAUUUGCAAGGAACAACAAGUACUACCCGGCAAAAUAUUUCUUCACAACAUCUUAGGAAUGUUGCUAGAAAUUUUGUACGGUCCCGAACUGAUCAGGCCAGAGGAGAAAAUGGAAGAAUGAAUGAAAGAAAUAUCUAAAUCAGCUCGGGGUUUGGUGUAGCAUCCAGGAGGAACAAUCAACUCUGUUACUGUUGAAUGGCUGGAGCAAACCACGACAAAAUCAAACAAGUGAUGGCUAGAAAAGCUAGUUUCGACAACAAUGUUACAAACUCAUUAGUUUCAGAACUUUUAGUUUUAUCAGACAACUUGUAUUUCAGCAUUUGGAAAUUUAACAUACUCAUAUUGUCAUCAUUACUUUGGGUAUCUGAAAUAUAUUAUGUCUUAUUCGCGGAAAUAUCAGACAUCAUAAUUCUUGUGCGCA